rnacentral:tRNA from 1 species
UUAAGCGAAGCUUCAAAUAGCAUUUAACUGUUAAUUAAAAGAUCCUCUAAAGGCGUUUAAA